rnacentral:rRNA from 1 species
UACGUAGGGCGCAAGCGUUGUCCGGAAUCAUUGGGCGUAAAGAGCGCGUAGGCGGCCCAGUAAGUCCGCUCUGAAAGUCAGGGGCUCAACCCCUGAAUGCGGGUGGAUACUGCUGGGCUAGAGUCCGGAAGAGGCGAGUGGAAUUCCUGGUGUAGCGGUGAAAUGCGCAGAUAUCAGGAGGAACACCAAUGGCGAAGGCAGCUCUCUGGGACGGUACUGACACUGAGACGCGAAAGCGUGGGGAGCGAACAGG